rnacentral:rRNA from 1 species
UGGGGGAUAUUGCGCAAUGGGGGCAACCCUGACGCAGCAACGCCGCGUGAAGGAUGAAGGUUUUCGGAUUGUAAACUUCUUUUAUUAAGGACGAAAUUUGACGGUACUUAAUGAAUAAGCUCCGGCUAACUACGUGCCAGCAGCCGCGGUAAUACGUAGGGAGCAAGCGUUGUCCGGAUUUACUGGGUGUAAAGGGUGCGUAGGCGGCUUUGCAAGUCAGAUGUGAAAUCUAUGGGCUCAACCCAUAAACUGCAUUUGAAACUGUAGAGCUUGAGUGAAGUAGAGGCAGGCGGAAUUCCCCGUGUAGCGGUGAAAUGACGUAGAGAUGGGAGGGAACAACCAGCUGGCGAAGGCAGGCCUGCUGGGCUUUGAAUCAGACGCUGAGGCACGAAAAGCGUGGGUAUCAAACAGGGAUUAGAUACC